GGCGAUCAGAUACCGCCCUAGUUCUGACCGUAAACGAUGCCAACUAGCGAUCCGCCAGUCGACUCAUCGCUCUGGUGGGGAGCUUCCCGGAAACGAAAGUCUUCCGGUUCCGGGGGAAGUAUGGUUGCAAAGCUGAAACUUAAAGGAAUUGACGGAAGGGCACCACCAGGAGUGGAGCCUGCGGCUUAAUUUGACUCAACACGGGGAAACUCACCCGGCCCGGACACCGUAAGGAUUGACAGAUUGAUAGCUUUUUCAUGAUUCGGUGGAUGGUGGUGCAUGGCCGUUCUUAGUUCGUGGAGCGAUUUGUCUGGUUUAUUCCGAUAACGAGCGAGACUCUGGCCUACUAAAUAGUUGACGCAUUGCCACUGUGCGCACAACUUCUUAGAGGGAUUUUCGGUGUUUUCAACCGCACGAAAUUGAGCAAUAACAGGUCUGUGAUGCCCUUAGAUGUCCGGGGCUGCACGCGCGCUACACUGGCAAACGCAACGUGCCUGUCCUGCCCCGAAAGGAGCGGGUAAACCCCUGAAAUUUUGCCGUGAUUGGGAUCGGACAUUGCAACUAUUGUCCGUGAACGAGGAAUUCCUUGUAGGGGCGAGUCAUCAACUCGUCCCGAAUACGUCCCUGCCCUUGUA
rnacentral:rRNA from 1 species